UAUGGUUUUCUUCCGCCGUGUCAAGUUAUAAUGUUAACUCAAAUAAUUUAUGGCGGGCGAAUUUAAGACGGUAAACGGCUCGUAUAUAUAGUUGCGUUGCAAAACACCGCGAAACAAAAUUAUCUUUACUACUUAGCGAAUCGUUUUCGGUUAUAAAUCAUCUAGAAAAAUAAUACGAAAUAUAAGACAUAUACUCGCCCAAUUUUAGUUUCAAGAAGAAAUCAAAUGAAAAAUAAGUUCAUUAUAUUUGAUAAACUAUAUACAUUUAACAUUUUUAUAAAAUCGUCUCAAAAUAUUAUGGUCGUCAAAUUGUAUACUCUUGU